CAGCAGCCGCGGGAAUACGGAGGGUGCAAGCGUUAAUCGGAAUUACUGGGCGUAAAGCGCACGCAGGCGGUCUGACAAGUCAGAUGUGAAAUCCCCGGGCUUAACCUGGGAACUGCAUUUGAAACUGUCAGGCUGGAGUCUUGUAGAGGGGGGUGGAAUUCCAGGUGUAGCGGUGAAAUGCGUAGAGAUCUGGAGGAAUACCGGUGGCGAAGGCGGCCCCCUGGACAAAGACUGACGCUCAGGUGCGAAAGCGUGGGGAGCAAACAGGAUUAGAUACCCCGAGUAGUCCCUGUCUCUUAUU
rnacentral:rRNA from 1 species